AGAACGAACGCUGGCGGCAGGCUUAACACAUGCAAGUCGAACGCUCGUAGCAAUACGGGAGUGGCAGACGGGUGAGUAACGCGUGGGAACAUACCCUCCGGUUCGGAAUAGCUCAGGGAAACUUGGAUUAAUACCGGAUACGGCCGAGAGGCGAAAGAUUUAUCGCCGGAGGAUUGGCCCGCGUUCGAUUAGCUAGUUGGUGAGGUAACGGCUCACCAAGGCGAUGAUCGAUAGCUGGUCUGAGAGGAUGAUCAGCCACAUUGGGACUGAGACACGGCCCAAACUCCUACGGGAGGCAGCAGUGGGAAUUUGCGCAAUGGGGGAAACCCUGACGCAGCAACGCCGCGUGGAGGAUGAAGCCCCUUGGGGUGUAAACUCCUUUCGACCGGGAAAAUAAUGAUGGUACCGGUGGAAGAAGCACCGGCUAACUCUGUGCCAGCAGCCGC
rnacentral:rRNA from 1 species